rnacentral:rRNA from 1 species
GCAAGAUUAAAACUCAAAGGAAUAGACGGGGACCCGCACAAGUGGUGGAGCAUGUGGUUUAAUUCGAAGAUACGCGAAGAACCUUACCUAGCCUUGACAUAUUUUAGAACUCAGCAGAGAUGCAGAGGUGCCUUCGGGAGCUAAUUUACAGGUGCUGCACGGCUGUCGUCAGCUCGUGUCGUGAGAUGCUGGGUUAAGUCCCGCAACGAGCGCAACCCUCGUCACUAGUUACUAACGGUUCGGCCGAGGACUCUAGUGAGACUGCCUUCGUAAGGAGGAGGAAGGUGAGGACGACGUCAAGUCAUCAUGGCCCUUACGGCUAGGGCAACACACGUGCUACAAUGGCCAGGACAGUGAGACGCAAUACCGCGAGGUGGAGCAAAUCUAUAAACCUGGUCUCAGUUCGGAUUGUUCUCUGCAACUCGAGAACAUGAAGCUGGAAUCACUAGUAAUCGUAGAUCAGCUAUGCUACGGUGAAUACGUUCCCGGGUCUUGUACUCACCGCCCGUCACACCAUGGGAGUUGAUUUCACCCGAAGCGGGGAAGCUAAACUGGCUACCCUCCACGGUGGAAUUAGCGACUGGGGUGAAGUCGUAACAAGGUA